rnacentral:misc_RNA from 1 species
CCUCUGGCCUCGGCGUGACCACCUUGUUUAGCUGAGGAGAAGCUGGGUUGGCAGGGUUUUCUGAAGUCAAGAGGGAGCUGGGGGGCGCCCGGGGAGGUAUUGGCAGUUUUUUCACUUGUCCUCUUGUGGCUUUGUAGCUUCUCUUGUGUAAUCAGCUGCCUAUUUGGAAAUUGGGCAGGGUUUGCGACUGGAUGCUAAUGUCACUGACUAGUUUUCAGCCUACCAUCCAGAAGUAACAUGUUCCCAGCUUUGGAAACGCACCUAAAGCAGACUAUUCCUGAUCCUUAUGAAGACUUUAUGUACCG